rnacentral:rRNA from 1 species
UACGUAGGUGGCAAGCGUUGUCCGGAAUUAUUGGGCGUAAAGAGCUCGUAGGCGGUCUGUCGCGUCGGUUGUGAAAACCCAAGGCUCAACCUUGGGCCUGCAAUCGAUACGGGCAGACUAGAGUACUGCAGGGGAGACUGGAAUUCCUGGUGUAGCGGUGGAAUGCGCAGAUAUCAGGAGGAACACCGGUGGCGAAGGCGGGUCUCUGGGCAGUAACUGACGCUGAGGAGCGAAAGCGUGGGGAGCGAACAGG